GGGCCCGUGGCCUAGCCAGGAUAGGGCGCCGGCCUUCGGAGCCGGAGGUCCCGGGUUCAAAUCCCGGCGGGCCCGCCA
rnacentral:tRNA from 1 species